AUUGAACGCUGGCGGCAGGCUUAACACAUGCAAGUCGAGCGGAGAUGAGGUGCUUGCACCUUAUCUUAGCGGCGGACGGGUGAGUAAUGCUUAGGAAUCUGCCUAUUAGUGGGGGACAACAUUCCGAAAGGAGUGCUAAUACCGCAUACGCCCUACGGGGGAAAGCAGGGGAUCUUCGGACCUUGCGCUAAUAGAUGAGCCUAAGUCGGAUUAGCUAGUUGGUGGGGUAAAGGCCCACCAAGGCGACGAUCCGUAACUGGUCUGAGAGGAUGAUCAGUCAAACUGGAACUGGGACACGGUCCAGACUCCUACGGGAGGAAGCAGUGGGGAAUAUUGGACAAUGGGCGAAAGCCUGAUCCAGCCAUGCCGCGUGUGUGAAGAAGGUCUUCGGAUUGUAAAGCACUUUAAGUCGGGAGGAAGGGCUGUAGGUUAAUACCUUGCAGCCUUGACGUUACCGACAGAAUAAGCACCGGCUAACUUCGUGCCAGCCGCCGCAGUAAGAC
rnacentral:rRNA from 1 species